rnacentral:rRNA from 1 species
AACGUAGGUACCGAGCGUUAUCCGGAUUUACUGGGCGUAAAGCGCGUUCAGGCGGUUUGGCAAGUCGGGCAUGAAAUCUCUCGGCUCAACCGGGAGAGGUUGUCCGAUACUGCUGGACUUGAGGGCAGUAGAGGGUGGUGGAAUUCCGGGUGUAGUGGUGAAAUGCGUAGAUAUCCGGAGGAACACCAGUGGCGAAGGCGGCUCGCUGGCUCGAUACUGACGCUGAGGUGCGAAAGCGUGGGGAGCAAACAGG